rnacentral:rRNA from 1 species
AUUGAACGCUGGCGGCAUGCCUUACACAUGCAAGUCGAACGGUAACGGGUCCUUCGGGAUGCCGACGAGUGGCGAACGGGUGAGUAAUAUAUCGGAACGUGCCCAGUAGUGGGGGAUAACUGCUCGAAAGAGCAGCUAAUACCGCAUACGACCUGAGGGUGAAAGGGGGGGAUCGCAAGACCUCUCGCUAUUGGAGCGGCCGAUAUCAGAUUAGCUAGUUGGUGGGGUAAAGGCCUACCAAGGCAACGAUCUGUAGUUGGUCUGAGAGGACGACCAGCCACACGUGGACGGAGACACGGCCCUGACUCCUACGGGAGGCAGCAGUAGCGAAUGUGGGACAAUGGGCCCAAGCCUGAUCUAGCAAUGCCGCCUGCAGGAGGACGGCCUUCGGGUUGUAAACUGCUUUUGUCAGGGAAGAAGUCUUCUGGGCUAAUACCCCGGGAGGAUGACGGUACCUGAAGAAUAAGCACCGGCUAACUACGUGCCAGCAGCCGCCGCCG